UUCUGGAAUAAGAACAAAACAAGUGUUAGAAAUCUUUGGUGCAGAAACUACGGCAACAGCCAGCAUUUUAACUACCAGUUUGACAGAUAUUCAAUCAAUAGGUGGUUGGUUGGAACAAAUUUUCUCAGUGAUGCCCACAAGUUUUCCUUUGGUUGAGGAAUCAAAUGUGGUUUGAGGCAUGUGGGGUACUGAAAAGUUAGACAGGCGAGGUGUUGAUAACAACAUAAAUAAAGCAAAUAAAAGGAAAAGUUGUCUUUUAUUCUUUUGCAAGUCAUUGUAUACCCAUAUAGCAGUAGUAGAUAUAGGAGAAAUUUGGUCCUCAACUUCUGAUUCAGAUUAACGUUUGUACACCUUAGAAGCCAUGUUAUGAUGGGAGCUUCUACUUGAAGCCUCUGAAAUGCUAUCACAACUUUUUUUCGAAGGAUAAGGUUACUGCAACUCAUGCAUGUUUUUUUUUUACGUUAAAGCUCAUGCAUAUUGAACUAGUAUAUAUCAUAAACAGACCAUUAUUGAGCAACCAUCUGGUGAUUAAGUGUGCCUUUUUCAAUACAGCUCGAUAUAUUUACCAGUGCACAGAGUCAACAACUAAAACUUAGAUGCUGAUGCAGGGAAAGAGAGAUGCCACCAGCCGUCCUGUCCUGCCCGUCCAGCCUUCCCCUUUUGUGAUUGUGACUGCCACUAUAGCCACAGUGGAUCGUAAUUAUUGGCGAAAUAUCAGUUCUUAACCGAAACUCUCAAUCCAAUUUCAUAACAAAGAGCACAUGUUUAGUAUGAAUGUGAUGUUUAUUUAUUUCUGAUACUGCAGGAUAUGCAAGGUUAUCAUGGAAAGGAGAUCUGGAGGCAUAAAUGAAGCGGCACAAGUCUAACGUCCAGAAAGUGGCAGCUGAGCUUGUUGAGUUCAAUCAAGAGAUUAGGAGGGACCAUUCUUCGGAUCCCCCCUUUGGUGAAGAAAGGCAGGCAGGCAGGAAGGCAGGUGAUGGGAGGACGGGAUGGGGUUGUGGGUGUCAACAUUGAGGCAAGUGAAGAUGUGCUCCAUGAUGUUGCUUGUGCCCAUCCAUCCAUACAUACAUACAUACAUCGCUGGAUAUUCCAGAAUAAGAAUAGUCCACAAAAUUUGAUAUUUGUCUUUGGAGCCCUGUCUACCUCUACGGAAAUUUCGCUACUUCAUUAAAUACAUGAUUAAUUGCUAAA